GCUCUAGCAACAGUAUUGCUUCAAAGAACUAUUAUCAUCACUAUUGUUAUCAUUACUAUUUUGCAGUUCUGUUCUUUUCUUAGCACUGAUCCCACCAGGAUUAUGCAGCCAAAUACCCCACCCAUUCUGGACAAGCUGAUUCAAAGUACGUGAGUGGUUUAGCAACCCCGUCUGCUGCAGCAGGAACGAGGAUAUAUUCAAAGAAACAGAAUCGCCAAUAAAUCAUUCGGGAACAAUUGAAUUCCCUAUAUAUAGAACUACAUUGAAAAGGGUUGAAUAUACCAUAUACAUACACACUAAAUAUAUGAAAUUCGUCUACACACAAAAACAUGCAUUAAGUCAACACAGUAACACAAACACUUCAAAAUAAUCAUAAGUCUGUCUUAUAGCAUUUCAAGUUAAUUAGAAGCAAUCCAAUAAAAAGAAGCUGAGACUGGACAAGCGUUAUGAAGGGGCAGUUCACAAAGAACGGCUCUCAAACGGCAGAUACAAUAGUAAAAAGUUGCUCAAUUUCAUUAUACACAGAAUAUUAGACAUUAAGAUUGUAAUGAGCCAACAUUUUCUCUUGUUGACAUAAAUGAACCCCUUAAAAAUAGUAAUUGUUGGUGAUAGAGUAAAGGGAAAACAUGGGUAUUUUUGCCUGUGGUGUAAAUUGGAAUAUCACUUUGAAGGACAAUUUGGAAGAAGGCAGUAGAGCUGAAACUGGACAUAUCCUAAAACUCGACAGCUAUCAUCCUAGCAUCUACCUUAGAACCACGCUGGGAAGGAUGAGUGUGCCCAGGAAUCCAGGGCUGUUUGUUGGAGCAAUAAGAACAAAAAAGUAAAAAAGUAAGUGAUCAGCUAGUAAAGGGUUGGCCACUCUGCAGAUGCGUAAAUACAACGUGGUGCAUUGAUGUGCUGGAGCGUUAGACGUGUAGCAAAGCAAGACAGGCCACACACACGCACACACACACACACACACACCUUUUUCUGGGGAAAAAUAAGUAGAAUAAAAGAGUUGAGGUAACAUAGGCACAACUGAUUGGUAUUUAUCUGUUUGGUUUGUUGCACCUUAUUUUGCAUCCUUCAAUUAGGCAAAAAGGUAUUUUACUGUAUAUCUUUUAAAAUAUGAUUUAAAUAUAUCGUUUUGGUAUUAAAAAUAUAAAUAAAGAUAGUGUCUUUCCAUUAAUUUCAUUAUCUUUGUUCAAAAUAAAGGAACAUUUAUAUAAGGCAAUGACAAUUCCCUAAAGAAUAAAAAUUCCUUCUUUGGGUAUGUCUUUAAACUCAUCCCUGGUCAAUGACAAGAAUAUAUCACAGGAAAAGAUGACAGAUUCAUUGCUAUGUAAGUGCAAAUAUACAGCACUGGCUUAGGGAGGGCUCAGAGGGUAGAAAAGGGGCAGCUACCACAGACUGGAAGCAGCAGGUGUGUCUACGCAGCGUGGAAACACCGGGUGAUCUGUUGCUGAAAUAACCAGCGCAAGGCCGCCCACCUGCUGUGACGAUAUUCCUUCUAUAAGCCUGGAAAUGUGGCUGGAAAGAGUGAGAGUCCUUGUGUGUGUGCAAACAUUGGCCAUUUCUAAAAGCACACUGCAAAAGAGAAAUGAACUCCAGCAAGGAUGGGGCAGAUUUCAUAAAGCAACGGAUAAGACUAAAGAGAGUGCGAAGAAUGGGACGGGCCCUCCUGGAUUCCAGACUGAAAGAAAUAAGUCUGUCAAGAUCUCUCUCAGUGAUAAAAGCCCAGCACCCAGCUAAAUAAAGCGACAGUUUUGCAGGGAUUAGAAGACAAAUAUGCUUCUGCACUGAUGGUGCUUGUAUCCUCAUGGGAGAGGCAAGCACAGUCAAGUAAACAGGUUGAUGCUAAGUAUUAGUGACUCAUCUUAAAUGGGCUACAGCCUGGGCAUCGUUGGACAGCUUCUCUAGACGUCUCUGAGCUAAGAGUAAAAAUGAGGACACACAUACAACGAGGUUAGAGAAACGUUUCCCUGGAAGAAAGAAAAUUAGGUGCGAAGGGAAAAGGGGCUGCAGUGGCCUGAGAGAAGUGAGAUGGGAUGGGAGGGUCGUGAGUCACACAUCACUGGGUGGCCCUGGCCGCCCAGGAACUUUACUUUGUGAUACAGAAAGAGCAGCACAUCCUAUACGAAGCAGAGGCAGCUCUGAGGUCUCAGAGGAGACACCCAAACACAGCCCCGGGAACCGGUCAGAACAGAAUUUGCACUCUCCAAAUGUAUUAAAAAAUAUUGACAGCAACAUACCCCGUACCUGGAACUUUGUUAUGACCAUUUCACAGGGACUCAGGGAAGAAGAGGUCAUUUUAUUUUUUUAAAUGAAAAAAAAUUUAUUUUAUAUUGGAGUAUAGUUGAUUUACAAUGUUGUGUUUUAGGUGUAUAGCAAAGUGAUUCAGUUAUACAUAUAGAUGCGUCUAUUCUUUUUCAAAUUCUUUUCCUAUGUAGGUUGUUACAUAAUAUUGAGCAGAGUUCCCUGUGCUGUACAGUAGGUCCUUGUUGUCUAUCUAUUUUAUGUACAGUAGGGUGUGUACGUUCAUCCUAACUUCCUAAUUUAGUCCUCUCUCAUCCCUUUUACCCUUUGGUAACCAUAAAUUUGUUUUCUGUGUCUGUGAGUCUGUUUCUGUUUUGUAAAUAAGUUCAACUGUAUCAUUUUUUAGAUCCCACGUAUAAGUGAAAUCGUGUGAUAUUUCUCUCUCUGUCUGACUGAGAUGUGACUUUACUUCCCGUGGAUCACGUCUGAGCAUGUGUCCCAGCCAGUCCCACGCGGCCUGAGUCAUAACGACUUUAUGUUCAGACUCAUCUGUAGAAACGGGCGAAGGAAACUCAACGCCGAACAUUGCUCAAGAGAAUCAAUAAGACAUUUGCUCUGUGGGUUUUCUGUGUCAGGACCAGGAGGUUCCCCGGCAGGAGGGCGGUGCAGGCGGCCGGGCGGGUUCCCCGCCUGGUGACAGCUUCCUCAUCCUCAGAUGCCCGCCAGACCUUUCCUCUGUGGAACCACAGGUGAUGCCAGGUCAUCCUCUGGAGACACACGGCUUCUCUUCCACGGCUGGCACUCUUAAUGCCACCUCUGCGUUGUGAUGUUGACAGAAUUGAAGACCUUUGCCUAGUAUUUAGGAUGUUAAUGGAGCCGUUCAUCUAACAAAGAGAAAUUACGUGUAGACACUUGAGUAUAUUUGAAGAAACCAAGCCAUGUCAAAUUGAGGGGAAAAUAUUCUUUUCCAAACAUCUUCUAAGCCUCUCAAAGUAAUCUAAAUCCUGAAAAAUAGAUUCGAUUCCUCCUUUGGAUUUUUUUGCCUGUGAAGGGAAAUUCUUGAAUUUGGAGAACAGUUUCCCAAUGAGAAGAAUAUACGGUCCUGACGCUUUACAGCGUUUAAUUUGUUAAACAAAUAUUUAUUAUGCAGCCCUCAUUUGGGAAAUAUUUGUUGUGGGAAUUUGGAUGAAUCACUUGGCGGCUCAGGUGUCAAGCUGUAUUUGUGUGUGGAGUUGUCACAGGAAGAGGUCAUCAUGGCCUUGACCUUCUCCACUUGGCCGCCAUGGGGCUCCGAGGAGCUAAGUUGCACCCAGCUCCCAUAAACUUGAACUCUUUUAUGAAUCAACACCUUCUUGAUGCAGAGUAUGAGAAACGAUUUUUCCUGUCUUCUCUAUAAAAAUAAAAUAUUUACAUUAA